UGCAGUCGAGCGCGCCCUUCGGGGUGAGCGGCGGACGGGUGAGUAACGCGUGGGAACGUGCCCUUCUCUGCGGAAUACCCUCGGGAAACUGAGAGUAAUACCGCAUACGCCCUUUGGGGGAAAGAUUUAUCGGAGAAAGAUCGGCCCGCGUUGGAUUAGGUAGUUGGUGGGGUAAUGGCCCACCAAGCCGACGAUCCAUAGCUGGUUUGAGAGGAUGAUCAGCCACACUGGGACUGAGACACGGCCCACACUCCUACGGGAGGCAGCAGUGGGGAAUCUUAUACAAUGGGGGCAACCCUGAUCUAGCCAUGCCGCGUGAGUGAUGAAGGCCUUAGGGUUGUAAAGCUCUUUCAUCUGGGAAGAUAAUGACGGUACCAGCAGAAGAAGCCCCGGCUAACUCCGUGCCAGCAGCCGCGGUAAUACGGAGGGGGCUAGCGUUGUU
rnacentral:rRNA from 1 species